GGUGACUCUGAAUAACUCAGCUGAUCGCACGGUCUAGUGCCGGCGACAUAUCUAUUCAAGUGUCUACCUUAUCAACUGUCGAUGGUAGUUUAUGUGACUACCAUGGUUGUAACGGGUAACGGAGAAUCAGGGUUUGACUCCGGAGAGGGAGCCUGAGAAACGGCUACCACUUCC
rnacentral:rRNA from 1 species